rnacentral:miRNA from 1 species
AAGGAUAUAUGGCCUUGGGUUA